UAUAAAAAAAUUUCAUCUAUUUUUAUUGUUAAAAAUUGACCUUACUAACAGAAUAACUAAAUAGUUGCACAUGGCAUGCCAUGUGUGCCUUAUUUUGACAUACAUGGAUGAGCUUUUAAUCAUAGAAAUGGAUGAAAUCUUUAAUA
rfam:Gossypium arboreum cultivar AKA8401 contig_7193_3, whole genome shotgun sequence.